AGGAUCAGUCCGAUGACCAUUGGUGUCAUAUGAGUUGUGGAUCAUCACUACAGCUCGGUAUAUCUGAGAUCCAG